UAACCUUGGAAGUUUUCUUUCCAACGCUUCAAAAAUUAGCUCAAUCGGACAUCAGAGUAAAUAGUUAUGGUCAAAAUACUGAGAGCUACACAGUAUUCGUGGGAUGUCGCGGGAUCAUCGCGGGAAGAUGUUGAGAGCUUGUAUUUUGCCACAUAUUUUGCGGGAUUCUCGCCGGAGCGAGCUGUGCGAUGCUGCAACAUCGAAAUUUAUGAUUUUAGGAUUUUGGAUUGAUAUAUAAGGCCCAACACACUUCCAAACAAGUAAGGAGAGUCGCCUAUAUAAAUAUUCUUAAGGGAAACCAUUCUCUACCUUUCAGAGAGAUCAAAACAGAUUUUAGCGCAAAU
rnacentral:lncRNA from 1 species